rnacentral:lncRNA from 1 species
CCCCCACCUCUGGCCCAGGCCCGGGUUCAGUGAAUGUUCUGGAGGAACACUGAGCAUCAGUUGUGGGCUCAGUAUCAACAAGCUUGAGCAACACUACUCUGGGGGUAAGGGCCUCCCUGUAGAUUUGUAGUCUUUAAAAAAGGCAAUAUUGAUGAUUUUCCUCUUUCAGGGAAGAGCUGUGUCUGUUUUGGUAAACACUUCAAGGCUGACACACGUUCGGGAUGUGCGAUGAUGCAAAAGUGAGGACUCCAUUCUGAAGGGAACAAGUUACCAAAGCCAGAUGCGCUCAGCUCCGGUGGUUCACAGCAGUGGGGACCAAGAUGGAUUUGCCCGCAAAAAUCGACCUGCGACUAGAGGCUCUGCGUUUGCCAAAAAGAAUUCUGCGGGGUGUCGGUGCUUAAGAGACAGUAAUGAUAUAAUAGGCUGCUGGUGACGACAGCUUCCAACCACAGUGCUCACCGAAGGCUGAACCAAAAAUCCCAGCUUCUCCAUCAUCCAAGAAGAAAGAUUGCUUGGUUCAAGGACAAGCCAGGUAAUU